rnacentral:rRNA from 1 species
GAACGCUAGCUACAGGCUUAACACAUGCAAGUCGAGGGGCAGCAUUUUAGUUUGCUUGCAAACUGAAGAUGGCGACCGGCGCACGGGUGAGUAACACGUAUCCAACCUGCCGAUAACUCCGGAAUAGCCUUUCGAAAGAAAGAUUAAUACCGGAUAGCAUACGAAUAUCGCAUGAUAUUUUUAUUAAAGAAUUUCGGUUAUCGAUGGGGAUGCGUUCCAUUAGUUUGUUGGCGGGGUAACGGCCCACCAAGACUACGAUGGAUAGGGGUUCUGAGAGGAAGGUCCCCCACAUUGGAACUGAGACACGGUCCAAACUCCUACGGGAGGCAGCAGUGAGGAAUAUUGGUCAAUGGGCGAGAGCCUGAACCAGCCAAGUAGCGUGAAGGAUGAAGGCUCUAUGGGUCGUAAACUUCUUUUAUAUGGGAAUAAAGUUUUCCACGUGUGGAAUUUUGUAUGUACCAUAUGAAUAAGGAUCGGCUAACUCCGUGCCAGCAGCCGCGGUAAUACGGAGGAUCCGAGCGUUAUCCGGAUUUAUUGGGUUUAAAGGGAGCGUAGGUGGAUUGUUAAGUCAGUUGUGAAAGUUUGCGGCUCAACCGUAAAAUUGCAGUUGAAACUGGCAGUCUUGAGUACAGUAGAGGUGGGCGGAAUUCGUGGUGUAGCGGUGAAAUGCUUAGAUAUCACGAAGAACUCCGAUUGCGAAGGCAGCUCACUAGACUGUCACUGACACUGAUGCUCGAAAGUGUGGGUAUCAAACAGGAUUAGAUACCCUGGUAGUCCACACAGUAAACGAUGAAUACUCGCUGUUUGCGAUAUACAGUAAGCGGCCAAGCGAAAGCAUUAAGUAUUCCACCUGGGGAGUACGCCGGCAACGGUGAAACUCAAAGGAAUUGACGGGGGCCCGCACAAGCGGAGGAACAUGUGGUUUAAUUCGAUGAUACGCGAGGAACCUUACCCGGGCUUAAAUUGCAACAGAAUAUAUUGGAAACAGUAUAGCCGUAAGGCUGUUGUGAAGGUGCUGCAUGGUUGUCGUCAGCUCGUGCCGUGAGGUGUCGGCUUAAGUGCCAUAACGAGCGCAACCCUUAUCUUUAGUUACUAACAGGUUAUGCUGAGGACUCUAGAGAGACUGCCGUCGUAAGAUGUGAGGAAGGUGGGGAUGACGUCAAAUCAGCACGGCCCUUACGUCCGGGGCUACACACGUGUUACAAUGGGGGGUACAGAAGGCGGCUACCUGGUGACAGGAUGCUAAUCCCAAAAACCUCUCUCAGUUCGGAUCGAAGUCUGCAACCCGACUUCGUGAAGCUGGAUUCGCUAGUAAUCGCGCAUCAGCCAUGGCGCGGUGAAUACGUUCCCGGGCCUUGUACACACCGCCCGUCAAGCCAUGAAAGCCGGGGGUACCUGAAGUACGUAACCGCAAGGAGCGUCCUAGGGUAAAACUGGUAAUUGGGGC